GAUCCACCAAUCUGUCAAGAGCAGUUACGAAACAGCCAGGAAAACUUUCGAAACAGCCAGGAAAACUUUCGAAACAGACAGGAGAGCUCUCGACAUUAAGUUUGGCGACCUCAAUUGUGACUUGAAGUUGCUGCAGACAAAACGGGAGCAUGAAAUAGAGCUGGCACAACUCAAGGCAGAGUUGGGAAGAGGUGGCCCGCCAGCUUCUCAACCUCCUGGAGAUGGUGAAGACAGGGAUUCUGCCAAUGAUAACAGCCAGGACGUGGACAACCAAAGCCUGUCGCCCUCUCCACCUCCUGGAGCGGGGGAAGACAGUGCUGAAGGUACCAGUCAGGACCCAGAGAUGCCGGCGGCCAAAAGGCCAAGAAAAUAAAAAGUUAAAAUAAGGUGCUGCUGAGAAGUUCAAGUUUUCCAUGCAUCCAUCCCAUUUUCUACCGCUUGUCCCUUUUGGGGUGGCGGGGGGUCGCUGGAGCCUAUCUCAGCUGCAUUGGGGGCCACGUUUUGAAUAAUAAAUGAUUUAAUGAUUGGCGUAAAAUCAGACUGAAUAAUUUGUGAUUUGGGC